CUUCAGAAGGAUGUUCUUCCCAAAAUGUGGCCAUAUCAGCUUACAGCUUUGAGGGAAAGAGUCAAAGAAAACACAGAGCAGGAUGAAACUUAUCGCUGACAACUACGAGGAUGACCAUUACCACCCUCACGCUCCACCUCCCCACAUGCAACCUCAACCCCUUCAUCCUCAACCCCAGCCCCAGCCGUCAUACCCACAGCCCCAACACCCCCACCAGCCUCCUUACCCACACGCGCCCCAUCCCCAACACCCACAGCCUCCACCCCACCACCCGCAGCAGCCGCCCCAGCCUCAAUACCCCCACCCACAACACCCACAACACCCCCAGCACCCGCAACCGCCCGGCCCACACCAGCACCCACCUAGACCUCAGCCACCCCACCCUCAACACCCUCAUCCCGGGGUCCAUCCGCAGCAGCACCCCCACGGCCCUCCGCCUCAGCAGGGCCCCCAUCAUCAGCCCAUGCCACACCCGCAGCAGCACCCCCAUCACCCCCCGCACCCUGGCCCACAGGGCCCACACCCUCGACACCCUCCACCACACCAUCGGGGUCCAGGCCGUGGACCGCCGCAUCCCGGACACCGACCCACUCCAGACCAGGAUGAUGAAGAAGGAAUUUGGGCAUAACUAUUUCCAAACCAAAGCUAUGAUGUUGUUUUGUGGGGCAAUUCAGUCACUAAAGGAGGAGCACAGCCAUGCCAUACAGAUGAAAUUCUACAUUGUUCACUUGGCCAGUCUUUACCUACAAUCAGAUUCAUUCUUUUGGAUGGGGCCCCAUUUUUUUCCAUGCAUUAAGGAAAGAGGCGGAGCAUUAGUUUGAGUGGGAGGGCCAAAGCUGGAGAUGACCACCUGAGCAGAUGAUUAAAAAAAAAUGGAGAGGAAGUCUUGACUGAUCAGAAACACAGUUACUUCCUGGUGCAGUCCUUUUUCUAAAGACAUUUGCCUUGAAGACUCUCCAUGCUCAGUCAACACUAGAUGAGACACUGCAGCUGCUCCUAGUUGCCUGGUUUUCACUUGAGACCGGUGCAUCCAGCUGGACCCGCCCCUUCUCAUCACUGCCUCGCCCACUCUCAUCUAGCUCCACCUCUUCAAUGAAGCAACAUGUCAGCCUGCACCCAUUCAAGCCUUGAUUCUGUCAUUUCUCUGCUUUUUUAUGUAAUCCAUUGUAAAAUAAUACCAUCCUAAUUUCAUUUUGAACCAUUUUUUACGAUCACGUCUGCAUUCGCAAGUCUGCCAACUGUUGCCUGCCUUCAAUUCUUUAGGUUUUAUUAUAUGUGCUACUGUAUACAUUUAUGUACUUAGGUUUGAGUAUGCACUAUGAUAAGCAUUUAAGUCACCAUUUUUGGUUUUUAGUGUAUAUUGGACCUUAGGGAGUUAGUAUACCUCAGAGGUAGUCUACUCUAUGUAGAGUUAAUUUCGUCUCACCGAUUAUAACGCACAUAACAUACACCAUGCUAACCAGAAUUGGCCCUUUAUUUUUUGCUUGUGCUCCACUCAAAACACCAAGCCUGGUCUGCAUGUAAGCUCUCAUGCACCUAUGCACCUCCACCCCUUACAACAGGGAACAUUUCUAAUGGUGCUUCAACUGGUGCUCAGGCCCAAAAGAGAUGGAGACAGCCAUGGCUAAACUAUUUCGGACAUCAGCUGAUCUAUAACACUCCAUGAAUCCAUGGCGGCAAGUUUUUCGGAAUAUAACUGAGAUGUUUUCCCAAUCUACUGCUGCAGGUCGUAGCAUUGAUGAAUUCAUCAAGAUGUCUGUUGACAAGGCCAGUCCAACCUGCGUGUCCCAUAAAGGGAAUGUCCUUCUCCUUUAACGAACCGCCCCACCAGGUACCGGCGGAGCUACCGCCAAAUUCUUGUAACGUCUCAACAUGGUGGCGAGUGCCUAUUUAUAAAUAGAUAGUAGAUAUAUAGAUAAAUACUAGCUAAAUAAAGUGUCUACUGUGGUCAGACUAUUGUGUCAGAAAUCAAGGGAAACCUUUUUUUCAGUGUGUUUGAGUCGUGUGUGUUAUCAUUGUCUGUUUGGCCCUCACAGUGCUCCAAUUACAAGAUAUUUGCACUGGGGUCUAUGCAAAACAAAAAAGAACACAAAAGGUCUUUUGCAGAAUCAAGAAACUAGAUCUUCAGCUAGAAAAAGAAUUGUAUAGAAUAUGUUGCACCUCACAAAAAAACUAAAAAUCAAACGACAAUGAGAUCUGAACAAAAAAAAAUUAUGUUGACCUGAGGUGGAUUUCAUCAUUGUAAACACACCUUAAAGGAAUAGUUCACCCAAAAAAGAAAAUUCCGUCAUUAAUUACUCACCCUCAUGUCGUUCCAAACCCUUAAGGUUUUCUUUCAUUUUCGGAACACAAAUUAAGAUAUAUUGGAUAAAAUCCAGAAGCUUUCUGACCCUCCAUAGACAGCAACACAACUGACACAUUCAAGGCCCAGAAAGGUAGCAAGGGCAUUGUUAAAAUAGUCCAUGUGACAUCAGUGGUUCCACCUUAAUGUUAUGAAGCUACAAGAAUACUUUUUGUGUGCAAAGAAAAAAGUAAUCACUUUAUUAAAAAAAAAAUUAUCUUCCGUUUCAGUCUUCAACGUGCAUUCAUGAGAAUACCACAAGGCAUGCAUGUGCUGCUGCUGACACAAGAGCUGGCAUUCUGACAUAGAAUUGUAUGAAUGACUUCCAUUGUAUGGUCAAAAAAUAUAAUGGAAGUCAAUGGAAAUAGCAAUGGCUGUUCGAUUACCAACAGUCUUCAGAAUAUUUUCUUUUGUGUUGAGCAGAAGAAAGUAACUCAUACAGAUUUGUGACGACAUGAGGGAGAGUAAAUGACUAUUUCCAUUUUAGGGUAGACUAUGCCUUUAAGAAGCAUAAACAUAGUUUCAAGUGGAAGAACACAUUGAGAUGGCUGGGAUAUGUUAACAGUUGUUAUGCAUUGUCUUGUGUCAUUUCACUGCUGUUGUCUGUAAUUGUGGAGUUCACAUUAGGACUUUGGCAAAGUCCAAAAUAUAGCCAAGAACUGACUGUUAAAUGACCUGUCUGUGCUUCCAUGUUGCAUUUCACCUUCUCGUUAUUCAGGCGUCUUCACAUUAUUUCAAGAAUCGCAUAUGUUUCUGUGUUCACAUAAUGUCAGAAUUACCGCAUUUAAAAGAUUCUGUUCCGAUAAGUUUGUAUCUUUGGGCUCAGAAAUUAUAAAUUUUUCUGACAAUCCUCAAAUCUUGAGGGUCAAAGAAAGUGCAUUGUGUACCUAAGCUAUAAAAAAAUGACAUGAAACUAGUUUAAAGUAGGC
rnacentral:lncRNA from 1 species